CUGUGCAAAAUUGAGCAAAUUAUUGGCACAGUCAGCCUAUCUUGUUUAACUACAGAUGGACUCGUGGCCGGAAAAGCAAUUUCACAUCUAAUACCAUUGACUGAGCCAUGAUCCACUGGCCUCGGGCUCUGCAAACUUCUCAUAAGAGCCUUGGAAGUACUAGCCAGGUGUCCACCUGCGGCUAGCAGGAAUUAAAGUUCUAACUGCAGAAUCUUGACUGUGAAACGGCUGCCAGAUUUUGUCCUGCUGCAGUCAACUGUCUUAAUUUUCGAGGAGUUUUAUUAGCUUCACCCACAAGCUGUAAUAGAUUUGAGAUGGCAGUUUAAGAGCUGCAAAUAUUGAGGUCCUGGAACACAAGCCCACAGUAAAGUCAUCCAUGGUCAAACAAGGCGUAGUGCCACCUGCCUCUCUGGGCUGACUUCCUGCAGGGAAAAGAAGUUGAAAGGAAGAUAUCCAAGCCUGCAUGGUAGACCUUUAGCCAUAGGAGGGAAAGGAUCUGCGUCUUCAAACUUGGGGCACAACCCAGAGUAGGGCUUGGCUCUUAGAGACCCCACGGUCUAUAUAACAUGAGUGUAGCCUCAAUGCAGGCCAUAAAAUUCCUUAUAUUUGUUCAUCUUGUCUCAGUAUUUUGCAAACACUAGGCAAGCGUCAUCGCUGACACUGAACAAAGGGUUAACUACAGAUUUACUUUGUGUUUCAGUUGUUCCAAAGCCUCUUCCCCUUAUGGCUGUGUUGUGAUAUAACCUUAGUGCCAUCCAAAGCAAUAAAUAGCAGAGGAGUUGGGAUUUGUCCCCAUGAGGUUGGAAACUUGGAUACUACCAUCGGCUCGGGACUUACAUUCUCCAAACUUCAUGACCAGAGAGUUCUUGUUGGGAAGAUCCUGGGAAAGAGCCUUCGAGUAUGUUGGGUCACAUGCCCAUCGCUGGACCAAUCACCAUGGCCAAGGGAGGAAGAUAGUGAGUCAAUGGGAGGACAAACAGCUUUUCCAG
rnacentral:lncRNA from 1 species